rnacentral:lncRNA from 13 species
UCACCAAACACCAACUGAUCACCUAAGUACACUAUGUAUACAAACCCUCGUGGUUUCUACUUUUAAAGAGCACAAAUAAAACUGUGAAGACAUACCUGGGUACAAGUACCUAGAAUAAGGAGGUAUUUGCUAAGUCUCAUAAAAGGUGAAAAAAAAUUGCAUGGAUGUUUACAACAUGUAGAGGUCUCUUUCAGAGGAGAAAUACCUGUGCAAACUAGGUGGCAUUUUCAUCGGAAUGUGUAAAACAGUGAGCAAACAUGAAGUUUGGAAAGCACAAAGCAAAAAGCUUCUGGGGAGAAGUGAGAGAUAAAACUGGAAAGGUAUUUUGGGGCCAUAUCUGGAGCAGGGCUUGAAUCCUAAAAAGAGUUAAAAAUGAUUGGAAAAGGGGCUGUGUGGGAUGAGCAGUGAGUCAGCAAGAGAUGAAUAAAAGAAGUGCUGAGCAGAAAGGACAGCUCAGUUAAAGUGAACAAGCAUAAAUUUGUGGCAGACUCAAUCAGUGCAGCUUUCUCUAGCAGCACUCUUCAGCCUAGCUAGGAAAUAUUUAGAAGUUCAAGGUCCAUGGGAAAUUUUAGGCAAUAAGUGAAGGCACUGCUGAGUCGGCUGACCAUGAAAACAAGCUAGACGGAAGAAAUAAAGUUGGAAGUUAACAGACAAGAAGAAAAAGAGCAGAGUCAGGGUUGUGAUGAGAAGGAAGACCAGGAUUAGUAUGAGAAAGAAAUUUAGAAUGGCUGACAUUAAAGAGAUUGUGGAAGAGGCAAGAUACUCAGAAUUGGAGAUUCAUAGAUGAUGAGAUCCAAGGAUGGAGAGGAGUUGGGGAUCAUUGGUGUCAAGGAGAGCCAUCACAGAACACUGUUUGACUUCUCCCGGCCUUUUGAAAUCUUACUGUCUGCAAGGAGUCUUACAAUACAAGGUAAGAAACCUCUAUACCACAGUCUCAAGAAUAUGCAAGUAUUUUUCCAGGCUCCUGACGAUCAUAAAUCACACUUUCUAUAGAAUUGUCCCUUUCCAGUAUCUCUCCUUAGACCAAAAGUUAACCACCUUUGCAACUUUCAUCUAAAGUUUUAUCUCUCAAUUAACAGUCAUUUUCCACAAUGGAGCACAGCUUGUAAUGAAUUCACGAAAUUUACUGCCUGUAUUACAACAAGGAGAAAAACACUGAAGCCUCUCUGAGGUCUAUAUCUUAGGCAGCGCAUGAUUUACUCCCCAGUGGGAAAAUUUACUCCUGCAUGCUAGCUUUGCAGCAGACAAGGUUUGGAUUGUACCUUAGAAAAGUUGCAAAGGCCUUUGAAUUGCACCUUUGUGAGGUCCUGUAAGUAAUCAAAAUUUAAAUGUUAAAUCCAUGAGGGGUCAAGCUCUGUGAUAUAGAGAAACUGCAGAAGUUGAAAAGAAAGGGGAAGUUACAACUAAUGAGAACAAGGAAGACUUAUGGAGAGAGCAGCCAUGGAGCAGUGCAUUGAUGUCUAAGUUGACAUUCAAUGGAAGAUUGUGGGGAAGAGAUUCCAAGAGGAUAAAAUGUCGUAUGCAAAGGCAAGAACAAGGAAUGAGCUGGUUCUAUUCUGGGUUCACUAAGUAGGCAAUGGGAUAGUAAAGUAGGAGAUAAACUAAGGUAGUAAAAGAAGCUGGAAUGAAAGUUCACCCGGUCUUGGGGAACUGGCAAAGCUAUAAUUUAAUCUCAAUUAAAUAUUCACUAGCAAUAGAAGUUACUGAAAGUUUAAGACAAGGGUGAUGUACUCAAGGAGACACAUUUGGCAGAAAGGCAAGAUGGAUUUAAAAACCUGAGAGCUUUCCAAUCUUCCUAUUUCUCACUAACAAAUAUAGACUGAAAAUAGCAGAUACUCAUCGUCCUGGCUGCAUUCACACUAACAGCAUAGAAAAGUGAACCAAUCCUGGGUCAUGAGAUAUAAGGAGAUAUCUUCUGAAAGUUAUUGAAAGGUAUCUGGGAAAGCUUUUCUCCCUUGUUAAGAAAGACUCAUGAAGAGAAAUCCUCCCUCUCCCUCUCCCUCUCCCUUCCUGCAGCUAAAAGUUCUUGUGUGAGAAUCUGAUGCUUGGAGCUGAAGUAGCUAUAGUGUGACCAUGAAGGGAAGGUCAGGGAAGUCGUGGAAAACCAUUCCAGAGGCCUGACAUUGCAGAACUAUUGAAGCAACCAUGGAAACUCCUGCUGAAAAUCUUCUUUAUGUGAAAGGAAAAUUAAAUCCUGAUGUUUAAAGCUACUUUUAGUUUGUUUUUGUGUUAGUUUCAACCAAAACUAGCUUCAGCCUGACACCAGAAGCUACAAUGAUGCUGGUGAAAGGUAGCAAUUUCCAGGAUGGUGCUAAUGAAUUUGGAAGUAAUGGGAUGCUUGUUUGUUUGUUUGUUUUUGUUGUUUUUGUUUUUAGAGACAGGGUCUUGCUCUGUCACCUAGGCUGGAGUGCACUGGAGCAACCAUAGCUCACUGCAGCCUUGACUUCUUGCGCUCAAGAAACACUCCUGCCUCAACCUCCUGCAUAGUUGAGGCUACUGGCUUGUGCCACCAUGCCAAGCUAAAUUAUUUUUAUUAUUUGAAGAGAUGAUGGUAAGGCUAGGUUUCCCAGGAUGGUCUCAAACUCUUGGCCUCAGCCAAUCCUUCUGCCUCAGUCUCCCAAAGUGCUGAGAUUUCAGGUGGGGAUGUGUGCAAGACAUGAGAUAAAAUAAAGGGAACCCCAUGGACUGAUUUAUCA